ACUCCUACGGGAGGCAGCAGUGGGGAAUUUUGGACAAUGGGCGAAAGCCUGAUCCAGCCAUGCCGCGUGCAGGAUGAAGGCCUUCGGGUUGUAAACUGCUUUUGUACGGAACGAAACGGCCUUUUCUAAUAAAGAGGGCUAAUGACGGUACCGUAAGAAUAAGCACCGGCUAACUACGUGCCAGCAGCCGCGGUAAUACGUAGGGUGCAAGCGUUAAUCGGAAUUACUGGGCGUAAAGCGUGCGCAGGCGGUUAUGUAAGACAGUUGUGAAAUCCCCGGGCUCAACCUGGGAACUGCAUCUGUGACUGCAUAGCUAGAGUACGGUAGAGGGGGAUGGAAUUCCGCGUGUAGCAGUGAAAUGCGUAGAUAUGCGGAGGAACACCGAUGGCGAAGGCAAUCCCCUGGACCUGUACUGACGCUCAUGCACGAAAGCGUGGGGAGCAAACAGGAUUAGAUACCCUUGUAGUCCCAU
rnacentral:rRNA from 1 species